UGCAAACCAGGCUCAGUCGGUACAGCAUGAGACUCUUAAUCUUAAGAGUCAUGGGUCGUUUGAGUCCCACGUUGGGCAA